ACAAAUUAGAGUGCUCAAAGCAGGCCGUUGGUCGCCUGAAUACUGUGUGCAUGGAAUAAUAGAAUAGGACCUCGGUUCCAUUUUGUUGGUUUUCAGAACUCGAGGUAAUGAUUAAUAGGGACGGACGGGGGCAUUCGUAUUGCGACGUUAGAGGUGAAAUUCUUGGAUCGUCGCAAGACGAACCGAUGCGAAAGCAUUUGCCAAGAACGUUUUCGUUGAUCAAGAACGAAAGUUAGAGGUUCGAAGGCGAUCAGAUACCGCCCUAGUUCUAACCAUAAACGAUGCCAGCUAGCCAUCCGCCGAGGUUCCUUAUAUGACUCGGCGGGCAGCUUCCGGGAAACCAAAGCUCUUGGGUUCCGGGGGAAGUAUGGUUGCAAAGCUCAAACUUAAAGGAAUUGACGGAAGGGCACCACCAGGAGUGGAGCCUGCGGCUUAAUUUGACUCAACACGGGAAACCUCACCAGGCCCAGACACCGGUAGGAUUGACAGAAUAAGAGCUCUUUCUUGAUUCGGUGGGUGGUGGUGCAUGGCCGUUCUUAGUUGGUGGAGC
rnacentral:rRNA from 1 species